UACGUAGGGACCAAGCGUUGUCCGGAAUCAUUGGGCGUAAAGAGCGUGUAGGCGGCUUGUUAAGUCUUGCGUGAAAUCUCGGGGCUCAACCCCGAGCGGUCGUGAGAAACUGGCAGGCUAGAGUGCGGGAGAGGAGAGUGGAAUUCCUGGUGUAGCGGUGAAAUGCGCAGAUAUCAGGAGGAACACCGGUGGCGAAGGCGGGUCUCUGGGCAACUACUGAUGCUGAGGAGCGAAAGCGUGGGGAGCGAACAGG
rnacentral:rRNA from 1 species